rnacentral:rRNA from 1 species
AUUGAACGCUGGCGGCAUGCUUUACACAUGCAAGUCGAACGGUAACAGGCCGCAAGGUGCUGACGAGUGGCGAACGGGUGAGUAAUGCAUCGGAACGUGCCCAGUCGUGGGGGAUAACGCAGCGAAAGCUGCGCUAAUACCACAUACGAUCUAUGGAUGAAAGCGGGGGACCGUAAGGCCUCGCGCGAUUGGAGCGGCCGAUGUCAGAUUAGGUAGUUGGUGGGGUAAAGGCCCACCAAGCCAACGAUCUGUAGCUGGUCUGAGAGGACGACCAGCCACACUGGGACUGAGACACGGCCCAGACUCCUACGGGAGGCAGCAGUGGGGAAUUUUGGACAAUGGGCGCAAGCCUGAUCCAGCAAUGCCGCGUGCAGGAAGAAGGCCUUCGGGUUGUAAACUGCUUUUGUACGGAACGAAACGGUUCUCUCUAAUACAGAGGGCUAAUGACGGUACCGUAAGAAUAAGCACCGGCUAACUACGUGCCAGCCGCCGCAGUAAAAC